GCGAACCGUGGCUCGGCCUCAUUUCCCGCUCUGGUUCAGGCGCAGGAGGAAGUGUUUUGCUGGAGGAUGAUGACAGAGGUCAGGCUUCGCUAAUGGGCCAGUGAGGAGCGGUGGAGGCGAGGCCGGGCGCCGGCACACACACAUUAACACACUUGAGCCAUCACCAAUCAGCAUAGGGAUCUGAGAAUUGCUCUCACACACCAAACCAGCAGCGUCCGUGGAGAAAACUCUCACCAGCAACUCCUUUAAAACACCGUCAUUGCAAACCAUUGUGGUCUUUAAGCAACAACAGCAGCAAGCAAAACCCAACCAACCAAAACUCUUGACAGGAGCUUUGACGAGAGAGGAUGCCUCAUAAAGCGAAAGCCCGCGUCGGAGGGCGACAGCCGGCCAGCGGGAGCGGCGCAGGGCUCGGGGCAGAAGGCCGGCUCAGUCCCAGCGCCGGCACGAGCUAGGCUCGCUGGAAGAACCGAGGCUCCGGG